AAAUGCGAUAAGUAAUGUGAAUUGCAGAAUUCCGUGAAUCAUCGAAUCUUUGAACGCACAUUGCGCCCCCUGGCAUUCCGGGGGGCAUGCCUGUCCGAGCGUCAUUUCUGCCCUCAAGCACGGCUUGUGUGUUGGGUGUGGUCCCCCCGGGGACCUGCCCGAAAGGCAGCGGCGACGUCCGUCUGGUCCUCGAGCGUAUGGGGCUCUGUCACUCGCUCGGGAAGGACCUGCGGGGGUUGGUCACCACCAUAUUUCACCACGGUUGACCUCGGAUUAGGUAGGAGUUACCCGCUGAACUUAAGC
rnacentral:misc_RNA from 1 species